CCACACAGAGGUGUGAAGCUGGUAGUCAAACUCAGCUGGACAUUUUGAAUUAAAGCGCAUAGCAAACAGAAAUGCUGUGAUCUUGGAUGCUAAAGUACAUACAACUGCUGUACUAAACAUCAACAGACUGGCAAGGGCAGCCCUUUUGCGUAAUGGUUGUCCCUUUUAAAAAUAACAUGCCUUCAUUUAUCAGAAAUAGAAGAGCCAUGGUGACCCUGGAUUCAAAGACCCAUGACUUUUAAAAUGAGAAUGUAGAAGAGAAUACAUAAAUCGAGAUGUUUCAGUGCAGCUCAGUGAUAAGCACCCCUCUCCUGCAAAAG
rnacentral:lncRNA from 1 species